UACAGAGGUCUCAAGCGUUGUUCGGAUUCAUUGGGCGUAAAGGGUGCGUAGGCGGCGCGGUAAGUCGGGUGUGAAAUCUCGGGGCUUAACUCCGAAACUGCAUUCGAUACUGCCGUGCUUGAGGACUGGAGAGGAGACUGGAAUUUACGGUGUAGCGGUGAAAUGCGUAGAUAUCGUAAGGAAGACCAGUGGCGAAGGCGGGUCUCGUGGACAGUUCCUGACGCUGAGGAGCGAAAGCGUGGGGAGCGAACAGG
rnacentral:rRNA from 1 species